GUGGGGAAUAUUGGACAAUGGGCGCAAGCCUGAUCCAGCCAUGCCGCGUGAGUGAUGAAGGCCCUAGGGUUGUAAAGCUCUUUCGCCAGGGACGAUAAUGACGGUACCUGGAUAAGAAGCCCCGGCUAACUUCGUGCCAGCAGCCGCGGUAAUACGAAGGGGGCUAGCGUUGUUCGGAAUCACUGGGCGUAAAGCGCACGUAGGCGGAUCUUUAAGUCAGGGGUGAAAUCCCGAGGCUCAACCUCGGAACUGCCUUUGAUACUGGGGAUCUCGAGUCCGGGAGAGGUGAGGGGAACUGCGAGUGUAGAGGUGAAAUUCGUAGAUAUUCGCAAGAACACCAGUGGCGAAGGCGGCUCACUGGCCCGGUACUGACGCUGAGGUGCGAAAGCGUGGGGAGCAAACAGGAUUAGAAACCCGUGUAGUCC
rnacentral:rRNA from 1 species